rnacentral:lncRNA from 1 species
GCUGGUUUCUCUGAAAGUCUCGGCCCUGGGCCAGUGUUUUAUUUCUUUCUGGGAUGGGCCCCUAUCUAGGAGUUUUUUUUCCCUUGGAACCUUGGAGAAUGACUCAUGAGGACUUUCAAUGGGCAGCAAGUGCCCUGGUGACAUAGGGUCACAUCCUGUUACUCAAGAAGGCAGGUCCUGGGUAGAUCCCAGGGAGGUGAGUUGGUGGGGGAUAAAGAGCUCCUGUGUGGCCAGCAGCUGGCUGCAGUUCCCCAGGAAACAGCUUCCGGCAGACACUCAAUCUCCAGUUGUAACAGGUGGUGUGGAGUCCGCUGUCCCAGGGAGUGGGCUCAAGGCCUAGUCCUGCCAAUGAACUUGCUGUAGAAACUUUUCUGUCUAUCAAAUGAGGCAUCUUGGAGAGAGGUAUCACCUCAGAGCUGGAGAAAUGUCAAGCUAGUUGAAUAACAGGCACCAAAGGUUUUGAGGGGUGCAGAGCGAAGAGCCUUGGGCUGAGAGUUUGAGUCCUGACUGUUUCAGUGAGACCAGCAAGCGCUUUCUCUCUCCAGCUUCUCCAUUUCCACCUUUGCAAACUCUGGACUCCAAGGACGCAAGAUGGCCGGAAACAAGAUGGUGGAGCAUGAAGGCCCUUGCCAGAUGACAGCACUAUGCCCUUGGACUCCCCAGCCUCCAUAACCAUGGGCCAAAUAAACUUCUAUUGUUUUAAAUUGCCCAGUCUGUGGUAUUCUAUCAUAACAGCACAAAAUAGACUAAAACAAUGCUCUACACUGGCUGCCAGAGUUCCCUGAUGGGAUUGUGCUCCAGUUGUCCACAGUAGUAACUUGCUGGAUAAUACUUCCUGUUUCCGCAGGCUUCUCUUCUCUGUCUCAUUCCCUCAAUCCCCUAAUGGUGCUUUCUGGGAUCAUCUCCCAAAUAAUCCACUUGCACCUCAAAUCCUCAUCUCAGAGUCUGCUUCUGAGGGAGCCCAAACAAAGGCAUGAAACCUUUCCCAUUCCCCAGUCUCAGUCUAUAUGGUUAAAGUGGGCCUGAACCCCAUUCUAGGAUGGGUCAGACUCAGGUCUGACCAAUGACACCACCAUACCUCUUUUAGGUACAGGGAUGGUUCAGGGAUGACCAUUUGAACUCAAAC